CGUGACCUGCGUCUCCUCCCGCCGCCGCCGCGCGCUCUGCCAGCCCGCGAGUCCUCCGUAUCCAGGCCAGCGUCUUCACCCAGCCACGUGCCCUGCCCCUGGUGCGCAGGUGGACUGGAAAAGAGGAAGGCAAACGCAGUGGCCAGGCGGAGACCUCCCAAAUCCCACGUCUCCCCGAGAAUCAGAGACGGGCUCAGACUAGGGCAGCCAUAAGAAAAAACGUCAACUACAUCUCGAGGGAGUGAGCCCUUGAGGCACUGAAAUGUCUAAUCCAUGUCUGGAAACAGAUUGAUGGUUCCCGAAAAUCCAGUGGAUCUCCCCCAUUUGAGAGAUCCCUAAAGGCAGGGGUCAUGUCUCUCCCCUUGCACUGGGAGUUUCCUGAAGCCAGAUGCUGAAUUUCACCCUGAAGAAGGCAGCUGAGAGCACUAUAUGUGGCCCCACCAGACUGGGAGCUUCCUGAGGACAGGGGCUAAAUUUCACCCAUGAGAGUAACACUUCAAGAAACACUCUCUCUUCCUGCUUUGAGGACAGCUGAAGUCUCGCCACUUCUUCUGGAUGCUCUGACCAUCAGUGAGAGUCUGUAACCACCAGCUGCUCUUCCAGAUUCAUGAGGCAAGGCCUGCCUGCUCACCUGGCUGGCCCCAAGCACCUCUUCAACCUGCUGCCACCGUCCUGCCUCGCUGCCCUUCUCAGCUCAUCCAGCAGGGUCUCCAAGUCAUGGAAAAAGAAGCAUGUAUACACACGUGCUCAUAUACACAUGCCCAGAGCCGCAUAAGCACACCCAGAAACACCAUCGCAGACAUGUUCUCACAAGCACAUGCACACAACACACUCACUACCCCUCACUUGUAUACACAUGAAUACACACACACUCAUGCGCACUCACAGUCUUACACACACACACACACACACACACAGAGUUAUAAUCACUGCUGUUGGAUGAAUUGUGCCCCCCACCCCCGUGCUAAAAAGAUAUGUUAGAGUCCUAACCCCCAGUACCUGGGGAUGUGACCGUAGUUGGAAAUAGAGUGUUUGUAGAUGUAAUCAAAUUAAGAUGAGCUCUUACUGGAUUAGAGUGGGUCCUAAAUCCAGUGACUGGUGUCCUUAUAAGGAGAAAAAGAUUUGAAAACAGAGACAUGGAGACACAGAGCGGAAGGCCAUGUGAUGAUGGAGUCAGAGAUUGGAGUGAUGCAGCUGCAAGCCAAGAAAUACCAAGGUGCUGGAAGCCCCCAGAAAUAAGGAGAGAGGCAUGGAACAAUCUCCAUCAGAGCCUCCAGAAGAAACAGACUCUGCCAACACCUUGAUUGCAGACUUUUGGCCCCCUUCACUGUGCGAGAAUACAUUUCUAUUGUUUUAAACUACUGAGUCACCAA